rnacentral:rRNA from 1 species
UGGGGAAUUUUGGACAAUGGGCGAAAGCCUGAUCCAGCAAUGCCGCGUGUGUGAAGAAGGCCUUCGGGUUGUAAAGCACUUUUGUCCGGAAAGAAAUCCUUGGCUCUAAUACAGUCGGGGGAUGACGGUACCGGAAGAAUAAGCACCGGCUAGCUACGUGCCAGCAGCCGCGGUAAUACGUAGGGUGCAAGCGUUAAUCGGAAUUACUGGGCGUAAAGCGUGCGCAGGCGGUUUGCUAAGACCGAUGUGAAAUCCCCGGGCUCAACUUGGGAACUGCAUUGGUGACUGGCAGGCUAGAGUAUGGCAGAGGGGGGUAGGAUUCCACGUGUAGCAGUGAAAUGCGUAGAGAUGUGGAGGAAUACCGAUGGCGAAGGCAGCCCCCUGGGCCAAUACUGACGCUCAUGCACGAAAGCGUGGGGAGCAAACAGGAUUAGAUACCCUGGUAGUCCACGCCCUAAACGAUGUCAACUAGUUGUUGGGGAUUCAUUCCUUAGUAACGUAGCUAACGCGUGAAGUUGACCGCCUGGGGAGUACGGUCGCAAGAUUAAAACUUAAAGGAAUUGACGGGGUCAUAGCUGUUUCCU